UUAUCGUGGGUUGGAGUUCUGUAGAACCAUGUGAUAUUUAUUAGGUGUCUUCUAUUAUGUUUUUAUGUUUAGAUAAUGGCUUGUCAUGUCUUUACUCUUAUGAGUUAUGUUAAUGGUGCGUGGAAGAAUAAUUGCAGGAAUGUUAUCUAAAAUAUUUUCAGAAGAUCUUGAGGUCAGUUCUGGGUUUUGAGGAUUUUACACAGAUUUCCUUCAUGUUUAUCUUCUCAGAAGAUUUUAGAUUUUUGUGGGUUCGAUCGAGAUUUUAAUUGUGGUUAUUUCUUUCGGUAUUUUUAAGGGAUUUUAGAUUUCAAUUUUGGGUUGUUGUAGGAUUUUAUUUGUGUUUAUUCAGUACCAACAGAAGAUCUUAUAUUAGAAUUCUGGAUUUUUAGGGUUUAAUGGAUAGGGCAAAUGAGUGAUAAAUUAUAUUUAGCGAUAAGUAAGUAAAUAGUGGUGAUGUUAAACAGUUGAGAAUCUCAUAUUGGGUAGUGUUGUGGACCUGUGGUUAUAUUACUGAGCUGAAUUUAAACGGUUGAUUUCAUUUAGAUCAUUUUGUUGGUUUUGAUAUUUUUGAUUUUCAGCCUUCAUACCUUUGUUUUUUAGAUUUUUCGACUUUAGAUUUCGUGUUAGUUCACUCGGCUUUUCGGGUUUUGUUUUCCAUCUAGAUUUACUUUUAUUUUCAUGAUUAUUUAUGAGUUCCCUGAAGAAUCAUGGGUUGGGUAUUUAACAUCAUGUGUUUCUAAAUGGUGGUGAAAUAAAUAUAUCUUAAUUGUUUUUUUUUAGAUUUGACUAAAUGAUUCAUCAAGACAUAUUUUAUUUCUUUCUCUUAUAUUUUCUACAUUGGGUUGCAUGUGGGCUAGAUGCAUAAGGUAAGGGUUAUUGGGUUGAUGAGUGGGUGAUUUAUAAUAUGUGAUAAUUACAUUGCAGAAUAGUGAGUGGAUAACAUUGAUGGGAAGUGAAUUACAGUUAUAGUGUGAGUGUUAUGUAAUAGCGUAGAAUAUUGUGAUUCCCAUUGAUUUCCAUGAUUAUGAUUCUUUUUCUGUGAUGUGGCUAACGUUAAGGGACCUAUACUGAGUCGAUAAAAUAUUUGACUCACCCAUCCUUGUGUUCAUUGUGUGAUAGGAUGGAAAUAUGGAAUCAAUGAAAAGAGGCACGACAGUGAAGGGGCGAAGUUCAUUGCGUUUUUGUUUUGUUAAACCUUAUUUCUGAUAGAGAUUAUGGUUUAGGUGGAUUAUGAAACAUGCAUGUUAUUGGGGUAUUGGUACUCAAACUUAUGAACAUGUUCGACCUAUAUUGUGAUUGUUAUUAAAUGACUAUACUUACUCUCAUGUGUGAGUGCUUUUAUGUGACAUGAAUUAAGUAUUAGUCAUUGAAUCGUUAAUAUCCCAACGAGGGAUGUUUGUAGCGGC
rnacentral:lncRNA from 1 species